AGUCAGAAUCCGUGCUAGAAACGAUGAUGUUGGUGUCGCACAUUAGACUUGUGUUUAAAUAGAGCUUUGCUCGUGAACCAAAUAUGGUGGGCUGGGUUGUCUUUGCGGAAACGCUUAGGCGACUUGUCUACGAAUUGUAAUCAUAAUAUGGGCGGCGGUGAAUCCUUUGCAGACGACUUGAAUGGGAACGGGGUACUGUAAGUGGUAGAGUAGCCUUGUUGCUACGAUCCACUGAGGUUAAGCCCUUGUUCUAAAGAUUUGUUC
rnacentral:rRNA from 1 species